rnacentral:rRNA from 1 species
AACGAACGCUGGCGGCAGGCUUAACACAUGCAAGUCGAGCGCCCCGCAAGGGGAGCGGCAGACGGGUGAGUAACGCGUGGGAACGUACCCUUUGCUACGGAAUAGCUCCGGGAAACUGGAAUUAAUACCGUAUGUGCCCUACGGGGGAAAGAUUUAUCGGCGAAGGAUCGGCCCGCGUUGGAUUAGCUAGUUGGUGGGGUAAUGGCCUACCAAGGCGACGAUCCACAGCUGGUCUGAGAGGAUGAUCAGCCACAUUGGGACUGAGACACGGCCCAAACUCCUACGGGAGGCAGCAGUGGGGAAUAUUGGACAAUGGGCGCAAUCCUGAUCCAGCCAUGCCGCGUGAGUGAUGAAGGCCUUAGGGUUGUAAAGCUCUUUCACCGGAGAAGAUAAUGACGGUAUCCGGAGAAGAAGCCCCGGCUAACUUCGUGCCAGCCGCCGCGGUAAGAC